UGAGAUGGAGUCUUGCUCUGUCGCCCAGGCUGGAAUGCAAUGGCACAAUCUCGGCUCACUGCAACCUCUGACUCCCAGGUUCAAGCCAUUCUCCCUGCCUCAGCUUCCUGAGUAGCUGGGAUUACAGUCUGGGUGACAGAGAAAGAUCCUGUCUUAAAUAAAUAAAUAAAUAGUUGUAUCGCAUAUAUGGAGGAAAGAAAUGAUAAAGAAGAAAAAUUACAAGGUUACUAAUGAUUUCUUUUCAGCUAAGCUUUUGGUAAUGCUCAUCUUUUAAUGUUCUUUGGCAAACACAAAUCAACCAAGUUUUACAACUGUUAUUAAUACGCCUAAAGUAGUACAGCAAAACGUUUUUCAUAAAAAAAGAGCAUUAUAAAAUCCUUAAAUAUUUAGGAUACUUAUACACUUCAACUUCUCUAUUUAAGGGGUGGAGAAGAUAGAGAUUGAUGGAACAUGCCUAUUUUCUGA
rnacentral:antisense_RNA from 1 species